GGGCUUGUGGUCUAGUGGUAUGAUUUCUGUUUUGCAAUGUCUCCUUCGGGUCGACGUUCCAAGCUCUACAGACGGUCCCGCGUUCGAUCCGCGGAUGGUCCA